UACAGAGGGUGCAAGCGUUAAUCGGAAUUACUGGGCGUAAAGCGCAUGUAGGUGGUUUUGUAAGUUUGAUGUGAAAGCCCCGGGCUUAACCUGGGAAUUGCGUUGAAAACUGCAAGACUUGAGUCAGAUAGAGGGCAGUGGAAUUUCCGGUGUAGCGGUGAAAUGCGUAGAGAUCGGAAAGAACAUCAGUGGCGAAGGCGUCUGCCUGGGUCCUGACUGACACUAAAGUGCGAAAGCGUGGGGAGCAAACAGG
rnacentral:rRNA from 1 species